UAAUAAGCGAUGAUUGGAAAUAGUAAAAGGUUGAAUAAACUUAAAGAGAGCCGAUGGAUGGUGGAAAUCGGCAGUUGUUUGCCUUUGAACUCGUCCAUAAGCUACUCCGUGAACUAAUAGUAGGGGAUGUCGGUUUUCGACCGUUAUAAGGAUAGGUGGUAAUAGCCACCGAUUUAAGUGGAUUAAUUAUGUAAAUUAAUCAAUUAGAGUGGUACCGCGAGCACAGCCUCGUCUCUAUA
rnacentral:ncRNA from 1 species